rnacentral:lncRNA from 1 species
GCGCGCCAAAUGAAGAAGAUGAUGGCUGCCAUUCCCACGCGCCCACGCAAGUUUGCUAGGCUGAUGACAAAGAAGGGAGACAACAUAAUUAGAAAAGGAAAAAGGAAAAAGAAAAAGUAAAAUCCUUUUUUAAAGGAAAUAAUUAUGUUGGAAAGCCAUGAUGAUGUCUGGAGGCUGGAAAUGGGAAUUUCAAACGGGGGCGCCUAUUUAAGCCAUUGACCAAGCCAUUAAGCCAUUGACCAAGCUGUUGACCGGUCAACCCGAGCCGUUGACCGAGCCAAGCCGCGUUGACCAC